CGGGGCGUGGCGCAGUCCGGUAGCGCACUCGCCUGGGGGGCGAGGGGUCGCAGGUUCAAGUCCUGCCGUCCCGA
rnacentral:tRNA from 1 species